rnacentral:rRNA from 1 species
CAAUAGCGUAUAUUUAAGUUGUUGCAGUUAAAAAGCUCGUAGUUGGAUUUGUGGUGUACUUCGGCGGCCCGUCACUAUGUGAUGGAGCUUGCUGAAGUCGCCAUCCUUGGGUGGAUCCUGUGUGGCAUUAAGUUGUCGUGCAGGGGAUGCCCAUCGUUUACUGUGAAAAAAUUAGAGUGUUCAAAGCAGGCUUAUGCCGUUGAAUAUAUUAGCAUGGAAUAAUAAGAUAGGACCUUGGUACUAUUUUGUUGGUUUGCGCACCAAGGUAAUGAUUAAUAGGGACAGUUGGGGGUAUUCGUAUUUCAUUGUCAGAGGUGAAAUUCUUGGAUUUUUGAAAGACGAACUACUGCGAAAGCAUUUACCAAGGAUGUUUUCAUUA